UACAGAGGUCUCAAGCGUUGUUCGGAUUUAUUGGGUUUAAAGGGUGCGUAGGCGGCCCGUUAAGUCAGUGGUGAAAGCCUCCAGCUCAACUGGAGAACUGCCAUUGAUACUGGCGGGCUUGAGUACAGACGAGGUUGGCGGAAUUGAUUGUGUAGCGGUGAAAUGCAUAGAUACAAUCAAGAACACCGAUUGCGUAGGCAGCUAACUAGGCUGUAACUGACGCUGAGGCACGAAAGCGUGGGGAGCGAACAGG
rnacentral:rRNA from 1 species